UACAGAGGUGGCAAGCGUUGUUCGGAAUUACUGGGCGUAAAGGGCGCGUAGGCGGUUCGUCAAGUCCUGUGUGAAAUCCCCCGGCUCAACUGGGGAACUGCACAGGAAACUAGCGGGCUUGAGUUCGGGAGAGGGAAGCGGAAUUCCGGGUGUAGCGGUGAAAUGCGUAGAUAUCCGGAGGAACACCGGUGGCGAAGGCGGCGUUCUGGACUGCAACUGACACUGAAAAACGAAAGCCAGGGGAGCAAACGGG
rnacentral:rRNA from 1 species